ensembl:misc_RNA Metazoa_SRP Metazoan signal recognition particle RNA
GCCGGUCAUGGUGGCACUCACAUGUAGUCCUAGCUACUCAGGAGGCUGAGGCUGGAGGAUUGCUUGAGCCCAGGAGUUCUGGGCUGCUGUGUGCUAUGCCGAUUUGGUGUCCACACUAAGUUCGGCAUCAAUAUGGUGACCCUCUGGGAACGGGGGACCACCAGAUUGCCUAAGGAGGGGUGAACCGACCCAGGUCAGAAAUGGAGCAGGUCAAAACUCCCAUGCCAAUCAGUAGUGGGAUUGCACCUGUGAAUAGCCGUUGUACUCCAGCCUGGGCAAGAUAGUGAGGGCCCUGUU